rnacentral:misc_RNA from 1 species
UACUCUUUGAUAUACAGAAUAAGGUCAAUGCACUUGUUGCAAACUAUUCUGGCUCAGUUGUAUCCCUAAAUGAUAUAUGCUUGAAGCCACUCGGUGAGGAUUGUGCCACACAAAGUAUUCUACAGUACUUUAAAAUGGACCCUGAAAAUUUCGAUGACUAUGGAGGAGUGGAACAUGCUGAGUAUUGCUUCCAGCAUUAUGCUUCCACGGAGACAUGUUUCAGUGCUUUCAAGGCUCCGCUUGAUCCCAGCACAUCCUUGGGUGGAUUUGUUGGGAACAAUUAUUCUGAGGCCUCCGCGUUUGUUGUUACAUAUCCUGUUAAUAAUGCAAUCGAUGCUGUUGGCAAUGAGAAUGGGAAAGCAAUAGCAUGG